UAAAUUUCUCAUCAUCUAAAAACAAACUUCAGAAUUACAACCCAACCAAACCCCAGAUACAAACACAAACUUCACAACAACUACUACAAUGUAAAUAUCAGAACAACUUGUACGGCGACGAUGCAUCCAAUGGAUGAAUCAGGUAUGUCAGCACCAGCGCCACCAGCAUCAGCACGUAUGCGAUUCCCUGGUCGAUCGUAGUGCCGUCGCUGGUCGGCGCUGGAGCCGGUGCUUGUGCCUGUGCGGCAGGUAGGGCGAUGGCGAAGAUGAGCACCGCUAUGGCGAUGGGGAGUCUCGGAAUCGCCGCCAUUAGAUGAUUAACUUGUGUCACUCUCUUACUCUCCUCCCCUCUCUCCGGCGAGACAGCGGGGAUGGGGAGAAGAGGGAGAGUUAGGUGAGGCGGAGCACUGCUUUGGGCUUUAUCUCACCGGCGAGCUUCGUUUCCGG
rnacentral:misc_RNA from 1 species